rnacentral:lncRNA from 1 species
AGGCAGCAGCAGCUGUAAUUCGGCUAACAACUGCUUCCACCAAACAAAAAACCAGCGCUGUCGAGGAAGAUGCAGCUGUCAAAAUUCAGUCUGCUUUCCGUGCAUAUUUGGUACUUCUCUAAUCUUUUCAAGUUCCUGUUGGGUUUCUCUGUUCAAAAGAAGAACAACUGUGUCAUUGAACUAUAAAUUAUCUCAUAAACAGAAACCAAAAAGUGACAAUCUAGAAUGAGAAAUAAAGGGGAUACAAACUGAUGCAUGCCAUAGCUUCCUUAAUCUGCAAUUAGCUUAAGAAGUAGGACCAAUCUCGUGAAUCCAUCAAUAACAGCAGAGAUACAUCAUAAGCAUUAAACCAGCAACAUCUUUGUAGUUUAAAAAAAAAAUCUUCUCCAUAAAACCAAGAUCAGUCGAGUUCAAGUAAACAAGAUGCAUAUAAUUCUGCAUUAUAUGUAAGAUCUAGGCUAAAAUUUAUGGGAAUUAUGACGGUAGUAGAAGAUAAUACUAAUGUAACAGAAUCAAAUCUUACUGCAGGCUAGAAAAGCUCUAUGUGCAUUGAGAGGCCUGGUAAAGCUGCAAGCUCUGGUGAGAGGUCACCUAGUAAGGAAGCAGGCUGCUGCUACCCUUCUCCGCAUCCAGGCUCUGGUGACAGCUCAAGAGCGAGCUCGAGCCCAGAGGAUCCGCAUGGCUGAAGAGUCGCAUGUUGUCCCACAGAGGCAGUCCAUCCACAGGAGAUCACCUCAGCACCCACGAUCUAGACAAUCACAUGUAAGUCAAAUCCAAUGCCUGAAUCUACUAACAGAGAAGAGAGUGACAAAUGCAUUACUAAACUCAUUCAAAAACCAAUUUUCUAGAUCUACCAUUGUUAAUGAAAAACAUUAACAUGCCUGUAGGAUAUGGAUAGAAAUUCUGAAGAGAACAUUAAGAUUGUGGAGAUGGAUCUUGGUGGACCGAGAGGCAAUACAAAGAGUAGAUACAGUUAUUCAAUCACAGAAACUGAAGCAAAAGAUCACAGGUUUUCUGGAUAUUAUGGCCAUGUCCAUACACCUUCCAAGAUAGUCCAAUACCAACAAUUCUCACCUGCUCCAUCUGUCUUGACGGAAAUGAGCCCUAGGACUUACAGCGGACAUUUCGAGGAUUUCUCGUUCGCGACAGCACAGAGCAGUCCACAGUACUUAUCAGCUAUUUCAGUGCCUGAUCCAUCACACUCUUGUGAUUAUCCCUUUCCAAACUACAUGGCCAACACUGAAUCUUCAAGAGCAAAGGCAAGGUCACAGAGUGCACCACGUCAACGAACUGAUACAAUCGAGAGGCAAACAAGCAGGCGGAGACCAUCAGUGGAUGGAAGAAACAUUCCUAGAAGCAUAAAAAUGCAGCGAUCAUCUUCGCAUCUCGGCAUGACGGCCAAUGGGUAUCAGUAUCAUCCUUGGUCUAUCAAGCUAGAUAAGUCCAACAUGUCCCUCAAAGACAGUGAAUGUGGAUCAACGAGCACAGUGCUAACAAAUAUCAAUUACUGCCGAUCAUUGGCAGGGUUUGAGGUACAUAUUUACAAAUGUCAACAUAAUCUCUUUGAUCACAUUUAAGAUUGGUCUUUGCUUCAGGAAACACUAUCUAAUAUGCCAUAAAUUUGUGCUUCCAGGUUCACAGAAACAGGCACUGAUUCUAUUUCUGACCAUCUCAAUUGCUAUAUGAAAUGUGCAAAGCGCCAAAGAUUGAAGCCGCAGACAUUCAGCAUUUGGCUUCUCAAGAACAGUAGAAAACUAGUGUCAAGAAGCUACUGAGACAUAGAAUUGCAAUUUUUUCUUCACAUGUAAAUGUGAUUAGAAGCCAUCUACAUGCUAUUUCUGCUUAUUGUGUACUUCAUGUGUCUUGCUGUAAGUGGGUGUUAAGAGAAUGACAAUUUAACUAAAAUUAUGCUGAUUAUUUGUAACUAUAUUGAAAGCUCAAACUGAUUUUGACCUCCAUAUUCAAAGUGGAUGAUGACAAUCGGUGAUUAUCAACAGACCAUGGAAAUACAAAUGAACUGGUCGUCAUUCAUUAGAUAAUGAAGUACAGGAAUGGCUCAAGUUGUGUCCAAUAGCCUAGAAUGAGUCACCUAUCAGCAACUGUCAUGUCAAAAUGAUAUGGGACAGUUACAAAGAGAUAGCUGUUGCUUCAAACUUGUAAUAUUUUAUAGUUUGGAAGAAAGAAAACGAAAAUUAAAUGAUCAGCAGCCAGGUUGCUGACAUAAAGACAACAAGAGAGGACUCUUCUGAUGAUGAAACAGUGAUCAACAAGAAAUGAACAUACGGUAUACAAUAAAAGACAUGAAGAAUGUAGGAUCCUACUUCAAGCUGGCUGCAAGGAGAUGACAAAAAUGUUCCUGCUUAAAUUUCUCUAUCGCUACAGGCUUGCCAGCAGAAUGACAGAUAAAGCAAAGCUGAUCUCUAGAUGAGAUAUCAGUUGCUUGCCCACCGACCCUAAGCAUGAAUCUUGCAGCAGAGACCAAAUUCUUCAUCAUGUCAAACAAUUGCAAAUAUGGAUCUCACGUGGCUACACAGUAGAUGAAAAUAAUCUUCUGACUUGCAAGAAAGCAUAGAUACCUGUGAUGCUAGCUAGAACCAAGGGAUACAUUAGCCCUAUUGUUGUUAUUACAGAGUUUAUAGGAAGAAUACCUGUUAAUUCUGUCUUCAGUCAAACUAAUUAAGAUGGAACGUAAUUGAGCUAAAUUUCUUUAUGGAUUUUUUUUUUUUUGCGAUGUUCUCUUUAGAAAAAGUACAACUAUUUGAAACUGCUCAGCCCAUAAUACUUUGCUCUGAAGCCACCACAAUGGCCCAACAUAUCUAUGCUAGAUGAUUCUCAAAAUUUGUACAUCAGAGUCCUUAAACCUAUAGAUAUAUGAUUUCCAAAAUUGUUAUCAUCAGACUCCAUAACCUAUUAGACAUAGGAUGCACUACUGCAUUGUAAUUGCCUUCAUUUUUGUAAAACCACUUAAAGAUCAUUCCAGACUGGUAACUUGUGCAUACUGUAAAUGCAAAGGAAGGAGGAAGAUAAUUAUAUACCUAUGCUGAUCGUCGACCCAACAACAGCAGCUGCAACUCAUAAUAUCCAAGCUUCUCAAAAGUGGUACAUCAGACUCCUUAAACCUAUUAGAUACAGGAUUCUUAAACUUGGUGUCAUCAGACUCCUUCAACCUAUGAGAUAGGAUUCUCUACUGCGUUGUAAUUGCCUUCCACCAUUUAUGUGAGACCACUUAAAGAUAAUUCCAGACUCGUAGCUUGUGCAUAUGGUGAUUGCAAAGCAAGAAGGAGACAACCUUAUCCAGAUUCUUAAAGUAACAAAACUAAUUAAGUCAAUGCCGCUUGAUCUUGGAAGUUGUAACAAUAAUUAAGUUACCCUUAACAUAUUACCCAAUCACUGAACCCUAAACAAAAAACCCCAAUACCCAAAAUCGCUUUGUGUGACCAGAAGAUGUUACAUGAACAGCAUUUCCAGUGAGAGGACACAUCACAGCGUAGGAAAUCUCAAGAAUUCUUGCUAAGCAAAAGUUCUGCAUCGAAGCCUAGCGUACUACAAUGACUAAUUUUAGUCAAAUAUACUUCGGAAAACCCUAUAGUGACGAUAAAAUCCCACGUGCAGUAAAUCAAACAGAGAACUCUGCGUGCUGGAUAAUCGAAAAGCGGUCACCUUGGGGGCUUGGGCACGCGCAAUCCCUGUAACCUCGAUUCACGUGCUUUCGGGAGAGAGGAACGGGGGAUCAGCCCCGAGCGAGGAAGAGCCACCUGAUGCACCAGGCUGGUGCGAGCUUUCCGAGUGGAGACGGAGAAGGAACAGGGGAGGAGGAGCCAAUAAGAG